rnacentral:lncRNA from 1 species
UCACAUGUUAAAAAUGUACUCAAAAUACAUGGCCAUAAAAAAAAGCUGAUCAUUACACGUUUAAAAAAAUAUACUCUCAUGGUCCCAGAAAAAGUCAAACGAUCAUUUACAGGAUGCAAUGACUAAACUCUCACAAUCCUAUGCAAAGAUACAAUCUCUCCAAACAUAACCAAACUCUACCAAUAUUGUACAGAGAUACAAUCUCUCCAAGCAGAAACAAAAUCUCACGUUCACGUACAUAUAUAAAAUCUCUCUGCAUCCAAGUAACAUCUCUUUCCAUCGAGCAAGAGUGGUCAACUCAGCCAUCCCUAAAAUACCUUCCCCAGGCAAUGGUUCGACCAUCUCAAAAAUUCAUUGUCCUUUAGAUUUCAGAAGAGUACCCUUAUUACAUCAUCUUCCUCUAGCAAACAACACUUCGAUGUCAACUUCCUCCAACAAGUUGCGCUUCAGCAUUGUCUUCCUGCAUCAGUCACAAGCCCCUCAAUCGUAAUCUGCUCCAUCAAGAGAUCAGACCAUCUUUAGUAAGUACCAUCUCACAGAGUUAUAGCGUGCUCCUCUACUAUAAUCUGGGAUUGUGGAAUGGCCUCCAUAGGUUUGAAGUCUAUUAAGAAGCAAAGGGUAAGAGUAAUGCAGUAUGGUAUCUACUUACAGUUUGUAGAUCAGAUAAUGGUUCACAUAAUAUUUGGAUUGAGUACCUCAGUAAUUAUGUCUAAUAAAGUACCUCAUUAAUCAAGUACAGAUGGCAUAAAAAUAAUGAGAAAAGUAAGGCGAAAAGUAAUAAAAAUAAUGAAUCUUCACAAACUUGAGCAUUAAUCUGCAACCUGUGGUGGACCAACCAUUGGGACGAGCAGGGUUGGCCAGCCCAGGUACUCCCCUGUCCAAAGACCAGCAGGUGCAUCGCCAUUGAUCUUUGUAGUCAUCCAUCGCCCAAAAAAAACACAAAUUCAGGUCUACCACUGUCUGUAAUAAUAUUAUAAUAUCAUCCUCUUGAACUUUAUCUUUGCAUUCUCUAUUGUGCAGGAAUAAACAAUGACAAGAAAUGGUGGGCCGCAUAGCAAGGAAUUCGAGAAACAUGUAAAAGGUGGUUAAAACAAAUCAAAUAUGCAAUCCAACAAGGUGAUCCGUUACUAAUCGUGAUUCUUUUAUAUGUGGUAUCACAAGAAUGUUACAACUAAAAAGACAACAAUUCCAGUUAGGCACAAGAGGUUCCUAAUUGAUUUUAGCUUGGACAAGAAAACGAUAUUUAAAACUAUUAUCUUAUUGAUGUAAAUCCAGACAAUCAACAAAACAGCAAGAUUGGAAAGUAGAAUGAAACUGCAAGAAAAGAUAAAUAAACAGUCUUCGAUCAUAAUGGGAUGCCCCACAAUACACAACCACACAAAAAGGACAACCUUUGAUCAACUUCAAGUAAAAAAAUCUUCACAAGUUUUACCUUAUGUGUGUUAUCAUCCCUUUGGUUCUAAACUUUACCACUAAUGAUGCACAGGAAGCAACAUUAUGUUGCAUAUGCCUUGCACAUCAAUUCUGCUGUAGUCGCAUUCAACAGAUAUCUACUGGUCAAAUAUCAAGCACAUAUAAAUGUAGAGGUGUGCAACAGAUCCCUAUCAAUAAAAUACCUUUUUUAAUACAUAAAUAAAGGUGAUGACCAAGCCACAGUGCUAAUUGUUGGAAAAUAGUUCAAUUUGAAGUGCACUUCAGAGAUCCCUACGUCAAAAGAUUGCCUUUCCACUUGGAAAAUGAGCAGCAAGUCAUCUUUUCAGAUUCUACAGAUUUAACAAAGAUUGCAAGGAAAGAAAGAGUAGGAAUCGCCAAAUUUACACACUGGAUGGAUGUGUGAAGAAGCCAGUGAAUUAACAUAUGCACAGUUGUUACAUUUUAUAUGUACAACACGAUCAGACCUAUUUUCAAAUUUACUUUUAAAUCUUAAUUUGUCUUUCGAAAAUAUUUAAAUUAUAGCUAACCAUGAAUAUACUAAUUAUUUCUUAAGUUUGCUGAAUAUUAAUAGGGGUAGAGGGGCCUGACACUGCCAAUAUCGUCCCAAGCCCGGAAAAAAAGUGGAGGGGGCAUAAACAUAUUAACACUACGCUGUACUCUGUAUUUUGCAUUCAUAACUUACUAUCAUCAUUUAGUACCUUUACCAUAAGUCAAUCGAAAGAAAAUCAAGGGCAACCAGUAUAGAUGAUGGUAUAAAAAACAUAAACAGGAACGUUAGUCACUGAAAAGCAAUACCUUAUUUAAUUAUAUUAGUUCAAUCAUACAAAGACAAAAAAAGGAUAAGAGGAAGGAGGACAUGUGGGUGAAAAUAUUCAAUGACCAAGCCAGGUUGCCUCUGUCGACAACAAAGACAAAUUUUUGGCCUGCCUCGCUUUUGGACAGUGACGACGUGUCCGAGUAGGAACUUGGGGGCAACAUUGUCCCCACCAACCUCACACUCGCGCAGGAUAGAAGCUAGCGCAUCCCCUACAUGCAUGUCGGUGGCAAAAGCACCUCCAAUUUAGUUAUCAUGUCUGCGUGGACAUAUGUUUACAUUCUUUCCAAUUUCACUCACUAAUUAUUAUCUACCUCAUUCAACACCUAUGGAGCCCUUAAAAAAUCACAUGCUUUUUCAAGAUUUUAAGGAAAAGUGAAGAAACAUUUUUCACUAAACAGUCAUUUCCUUAAUUACUUUAUAUUGAAUCGCAGAAACAAAGGACAUGGUUAUGAAAAAAAUAAAUAUAUGACAGUCAGGAAAAGGGAAAAGGGGACCUUCGAACUUCGAAGAAUGUCGCCGAUGUGGAGGAUGCGUUUCGCUGGCGCUCUAGGGGCAGAAAACGUCUCCACCAUCCUCAUACUAAAGAUGGAUCAAAGCUGGCUGCGAGAGGCGAAAUCCAUGCCCACAUCACCUGCACGGACGUCGAGAGCAACAACACCGUGCAGAUGGAUGAUCUAGCCUACUCCCUUGCGCAGCUCCACCUUGGGCCCUGCUACCCCUCCAUCGCUGUUUACCAGCCUAGACCGAGGAGGCGUACGUGGAGACAAACCAGCCGCCGUUGAAGUUCAUCCUAUGGCCGCACUAGCAAAUCGAGCUGCCGGGGUGGCCGCAGGUGAGGACGAGCAAGCUGAUGGCACCGAAUCAAGGAAGCAAGCUGACGACAGCUAUCCGGCGGCAGCAAUUUUGGAGUGAGCGGAGAGAAUGAGGAAGAGAGAAAGGGGAUCAGGAAAGAGCAACUUGCGACUGUGUAAGAGUGUACGUGGAAGAAGAUACGUUUGGG